GCCUGGAUGGCUCAGUGGUUGAGUGUCUGCCUUUGGCUCAGGUCGUGAUCCCAGGGUCUUGGGAUCGAGUCCCACGUCGGGCU
rnacentral:tRNA from 1 species